UAGGGAAUCUUCCACAAUGGACGCAAGUCUGAUGGAGCAACGCCGCGUGAGUGAAGAAGGUUUUCGGAUCGUAAAGCUCUGUUGUUGGUGAAGAAGGAUAGAGGCAGUAACUGGUCUUUAUUUGACGGUAAUCAACCAGAAAGUCACGGCUAACUACGUGCCAGCAGCCGCGGUAAUACGUAGGUGGCAAGCGUUGUCCGGAUUUAUUGGGCGUAAAGCGAGCGCAGGCGGAAUGAUAAGUCUGAUGUGAAAGCCCACGGCUCAACCGUGGAACUGCAUCGGAAACUGUCAUUCUUGAGUGCAGAAGAGGAGAGUGGAAGUCCAUGUGUAGCGGUGGAAUGCGUAGAUAUAUGGAAGAACACCAGUGGCGAAGGCGGCUCUCUGGUCUGCAACUGACGCUGAGGCUCGAAAGCAUGGGUAGCGAACAGG
rnacentral:rRNA from 2 species